rnacentral:lncRNA from 1 species
GCAUUCUUUAAAAUUCAAUCCAAGCAGCAGCCCUACUUGAACGCUUCCUGAAAGAUCAUUCUUUCACCCUCCACCUCCCUGUACAGAUUAAGAUCUGAAGGUUAACACACACUAAAGGGCAAUGCCAUUAAAGGAGAAGAGGAACUUUGGAAACUGCUGUCUGAAAGGAAAGCAAAGCACUCUUCAUUAACAGCUAGUGGGCUCCUAAUUUCUGCCCAUGAAGGCAUGUUCAUACUGACAGAGCACCCCCUCAAGGGGAAGAACCAUCCGCGCUAAUUCUUGUUGUCCUCUUCUGAGCUAGUGUGCUCAUUGUUCAUACAAACUAGUGUGUCAACAUUAAAACAAAAAGGGAGUUGAAUCAAUAAAUGACUUGGGAGGCUGUCAUACUUGUAACAACUAUGGCGACAGAAGAACACUGGCUGUAGUAUUUGGUAUUAGCAUUGGUGUCUGGAUCUAUAACUAAAAAAGCUUCUUCAUUUCUCCAAACUAAUAGAUAUGACAGAUAUUGCCACACUUAGCUCUACUUAAAUAAAUAUUCUAAACUCAAUCUCAAAUCCACUAAUGGAAUUUCUGUCGCAGUCUCUCCUAUGGUCAAAAAAUAAUUAGAGUAACAGAAUAGUAGUUUUAUACCAGAUAGAUAUUUGAAGAAGAAAUAGUCAUCAUAUAUACUUAAAUAUUCUCAAAAUGUCUCCCUUGCCCUCCCCCUAAUACCAUCAUUUCUUUGUUUCAGGGAAAUGGCAUUUUAAUAAAACACUUACUGUGAUGUACCAUUUACUGGGCAAGGGCAGCUGCCUGGCCAAGGUGAAAGAGCACAGAAGCAAAGACUUAAUGCUUUGAUCUAGAAUCCUGGCUCCACAACUUCUCUGAGUCCCAGUUACCUCAUCUAUCAAGGGCUAAUAAUCCUUCUUUUUGAGGUUGGUGUGAGAAUCAAAUGAAUUAAUCCAUAGAAAAAGCCAGCACACUGCCUAUCCUGGAGCAUGUAUUUUAAUUCCCAUGCUCUUUGCAGCUUUGCCCAUGACCUCCACUGAAGCCUCAAGACCCACAAACCUAGACAUUAAUUUGUAUGCUAAUAAUCUCCUAUGUUUGUGAGAGAGUUUGGAGCUUUCAUAGUCAUCUACCAUUGGUAAGAGAGAGGUUAGCCAGCUUACCUGAGGUCCCACAGCUGG